AUACGUAGGGGGCGAGCGUUGUCCGGAAUGAUUGGGCGUAAAGGGCGCGUAGGCGGCCCGGUAAGUCUGGAGUGAAAGUCCUGUUUUUAAGAUGGGAAUUGCUUUGGAUACUGUCGGGCUUGAGUGCAGGAGAGGUAAGUGGAAUUCCCAGUGUAGCGGUGAAAUGCGUAUAGAUUGGGAGUAACACCAGUGGCUGAGGCGAAGUACGGGACUGUAACUGACGCUGAGGCUCGAAAGUGUGGGGAGCAAACAGGAUUAGAUGCCCUGGUACUCCCCACUGUAAACGAUGAAUGCUAGGUGUAGGGGGUAUCGACCCCGUCUGUGCCUCAGUCAACACAAUAAGCAUUACGCCUGGGGAGUACGGCCUCAAGGUGGAAACUCAAAUGAAUUGACGGUG
rnacentral:rRNA from 1 species